rnacentral:lncRNA from 1 species
CUGUAACCAAAAGCCAUCUUAUUCACUGAUGACUUUGAAAUGUAUAAAUGCCAUUUGAGAAAAAAGAAGAUAUCCAAGUACACUGAGAGAAAUUACUUGAUUAUAAGCUGUGUCAAGAUGGCACAUCUAUUGCUGAUGAAAGCACUGUUAUGUCUGUAGCCUAAGAAUUAGAAACAAUAGAAAAUUAAUAUAAAAAAUGAAAAUGUACACUUUAAAUAAUGUCGCAUUUUAGGUUUAAACCAUUUCCCAUUCAGUGACAGAACUUUGUUUCCUUAUUGUAAACUUUACACAUAGUUGUAUUGUAAUCCUUACACAUAUAUAGGCCCUUAAUAAGUACAUUAAUAAAGAACUAGGUAACUGAAUGAAAGUUAUAAACUGUUAGGUAACAUUAGGGAAAAGGGGGUUUUACUUCUUUUUUUAAUAUUUUUUAUUGCUAUUUCCCCAAAACAAUUUUUUUUCUACUGUACAGCAUGGUGACCUAGUUACACAUGUAAGUAUACAUUCCUUUUCUGGAUGUCUACAGAUUGUGUGCGUACACAUACACACCCACAAACACAUGUGCAUGCGCGCGCGCGCACACACACACACACACACACACACACACACACCCCUAAUCACUGGAUAUCCAAUCAUUACCAAAAAUAUCUGCCACUCCAGUAUCUGUUUUCUUUUCCAUUUCCUGUCUCUGAGACCCUUUCCUCAGGCCCUAGCAUCAGAAUCAUUUUAAAUUUUCCUUUUGCCCUUUACUCCCCAUUUAGUCACUGAAUUCCACUAGUUUUCCCCCAGCAUCUCUUCACUUGGCCUCUUUAUUUUCAGGAGUUCCCCAUGGGCCUUGAGAACAUGGCCCUCAUCUCCUCUCUGAUCCCCCAAAAAUAGGUCACUUUUCCUUCAGGCCAUUUUCAGGUAACAAUGCUUUUAAGCAUCUAAAAUAAUCACUCUCACUCAUCAUUUCUUCAUCUCAUUUCUUAGUUUAGGAUUCUACACUUCUUCUUUUCUGACUGUAGAUUAAAAUCCAAAUUCCUCAUCUGACUGUAACAUUCCUCUACCACCAGUUAUUCUUCUUGGUGUCUCUUUCUUCCCCAGCUCCAAGAUCCACAUCAAGUUCCAUUUCCCCUAAAGCAGAAUGAACAAGGGUUUGGUUUGGCAUCUUGACCAUCUUUAUGCCUGGAUGAGUCAGCUCCUCGUGCAGCUCCACACAACUGCUGUGACCCUCCUGCUCCUCUACAUCAAGGGUCAUCCAGCUGGUCCUUUCCACCUCCAUGCCCUUGUCCAGGCUUUCUCACCAGUCCGUGCUGCUCUUCUCACUUCAAAAAGUGUAGACCCAUCACUCCCUUUCACAUUCUUUUUUGUCCCAGUACCCUAAAGUCCUUAUAUAUCCUGUCUGUACUCACUUUUGUAUCAAUCUAAAAGUGUUAAGUGGUUUUAUCUAUAUAGGUUUUGUUGCCUCUUCAUUCCUAGCAAGACUGAAUAUAUGAAUGGAGUAGAAAACAUUUCCUUAAAUAUGGUACAGAAUCCUCUACACAGAGCUUAUUCAGUAAACAUUUGCUGACUUCUUAAUAAAGCAUAUAGCCACCGGAUCUCAGUAAGACAUUGGAUUCUCCAGUCACAAUUAAAAAUAGCUGUAUGUUGCAAAAGGACUCACUGCACAUCUGUAACUCACUGGUCCAGGCCAGGAGCUUGAAAAUCUUUGAAGGACAAGACUCUUAUACAGGAUGUUUAGUUGGGAGGCCUUGAAUAUGGUCUACCCUGUGAAGAACAUUAAAGGACCUGUGUUUCCUAGCCAAGCAAUAGUUCUCAGAGGCAGUAAGCCAGGUUCACCAUUCGGUAGAGGAAGUUUGCCAAAUGUUGUUAUAAUAUUCAAAUGGGUUUGUCCUAAAAUGAGCACAUCUGAUGAGCAUCCCCACCCAGGCUGCUCUCUGAAGAUGUUAGUGGGCAGCAAAGAAGCACAAGUGUGACUCAGUCAGCUGCCAGAGACUGACUGGCUCCAAAAACAUCCACACCCACCACUUUACACUGUGCAAAAUUUUACUCUAGUUAUGCCAGCCCAAUGUUUGAGAAUUAUCAAUGAAUCAGUAAGGGAGAGAGACCAUUGGGAUUUUUCCUGUACUUAUGGAUCUCAAAAAUUCUUCAUUAGAAAACUUUGACUCUCUGAAGGUCCCGUGGGGACAGCUAUUAUGUAAGAAAAUCUCCUUCUGACUCUAUUUUAGCCCACCUAAUAAAAUCUGAUGGCAGCACAUGGAUUGCUUCAGGGAACAUAGUUUCAGGGUUAAAAAAGACCUAGAGUUAAAUUUUAUAUCUUGCUUCCAAAGAAGGGCUGUCUCUCUGAGAGUAUAUGAAAAGGCCUUUUUUGACCAUGAAUUAAAGAACUAUUUUAUGAAGAUGGUUCAGAUCAAAGAUUUGAAGAGACCAUUACUUUAACUAGACGCUUGGAUUAUGUACUCUUAAGUAAUGGUGUAGACCCCCUUCCUCCAGCCUGAUAAAGAGAAGCAGACUAUUGACUAUCCUUUGGUGUUCCUGCAAUGGGUUGUCAAUACACUUUACCUGCUCCAAAGCUAACCUCUAUCCCACUGCAAGGUGGGCGUUACAAUCCCCAAUUUCCAAAUACAAAAAAGACUUAAAGUGAGCAAGCAGCUUGCCCAUAGUAUACAACCAGUAAGUGACUUUGGGUAACACCCUGAUCUCUGUGGUGCCAAAGCCAGUGCUCUUAAUCCCCACACUGCUGCCUUCUAUUGAGCAACACAAAGCAAACUAUAAAGUGGUACACAUGGUAGUUUGUGUGGGAAACAGAAAGUCCCAAGAAGGAAAAUGUUCAUAUUACCCCAAAAAGAGAAUAAAUGACUUUUAUUCUGAACACUCUAAAGAUACUAGCAGCCCUUUGGCUAUGUAUGAAAGGCCAUAAGUUGUUCUUCUGUGGCAUCCAGAAGCAUCCUGCUAUGGCAAAGUUCAUAUUCCUUUUUAACAAGUCUAGCCAGGUGCAUAAAAUCCAAAGCAUUUUCUCCCUCCUUCCUAGCCAGGGAUGCUCAUGGAUAAUGCCAUCUCAAGGAAAAGAUGAGGUCUGAGCAGAAUUUUUAUAUUUCAGUAUAAGCAUCAACUUCAUGAGCCAUUUCAUUUUAGUUUUCUUCAUGAUAGGGUUUCCUUACAAUAACUGCAUGAAAUAGGUAGUCAUUCUUCUAAAUAUAUUGAUGGAGUAAAAGUAGCUCCUAGUGAUACUGUCUUCCAUGUUCUCGACAUUAAGUAAAUACAGACUGGAUGAGUUUUCAGCUGAGCUGGGAGGUACCCUGCACAUUUGAAAACCUAGUUUUUAAAAGCACUUCAUAUAAUUUUAUUGGUCUUACGUAAAGUGCCGUUUUUUAUAAAAUAGAUUUCUUCCCCCAAGUCAUUGUGGUUUUUUAUUGGUUUAUUUUUAUUUCAAAAAUGGGCCUAGUUGGCAGUUCUCAGCAUUUUUGGAAGAAGAUAAUUUAUAAAGACCUAAAUGAUAUAAACUAUUAUUUCAAAAAUUCUUUAAUGAGAGAAAACUUAAAUGCUGACUAUUUUGAACUUCAUUUAACAUAUAACCAAAGCUACUAAGCCUAUAUCUGACUUAUCUUCCAUUAAUGGUACUAGGAGAUAGUGUUGUGUGUUAUCUAUGAGAACAGAAACCUGGACCCUCUUAUUCACUGCUUUGUGUCAGACAUAGUAGGUGCUCAAGAAAUAGUUGCCUAAUGAAUUAAUGAAUUACUUCAAAUUCAUUUGUUAUAUAGUUUUGUGAAGUUUCCUGGGUUGGGGAGGAAGGUAUUUAAAUUCACAAUAUUUGUGUAUUUCCUGAAAUUUUUUCAUUCUUACUCUCAAAGGUAAAUUUUGUAUGAAAAUCUUUAAAGAAAAGAACUUCAAAAGCUUUUGAUCUAAGCUAUCAUAAUAAGAGAAGUCUUUCCUUUCUCAGAAAAUAGCCAGUGGUUAACAAAUCUGACUAGGAACCAUGAGGUUUCAGGUUCGAUCCCUGGCCUUGCUCAGUGGGUUAAGGAUCCGGCGUUGCCGUGAGCUGUGGUGUAGGUUGCAGACGCGGCUCGGAUCCCGCAUUGCUGUGGCUCUGGUGUAGACUGGAGGCUACAGCUCCAAUUAGACCCCUAGCCUGGGAACUCCAUAUGCCAUGGGAGAGGCCCUAGAAAAGGUAAAAAGGC